AUCGGCGUGGAUCAGCUUGCUUCGCGGAGCUUGCGCAUUUCCUCGCAUGGCAGGUCAGCGUCAGUUUUGCGCGGCGUGAAAAGGCUCGGGUAAGGUAGCUCUCUUCGGGGAGUGUUAUAGACCUGGGCAAAUGCGCAGCGCGGGACUGAGGAUUGCAACGGACACCUCUUCGGAGGCGCGGCGACCGAACCCUGCUCGGCCACCCUCGUUCGAUAGCGUGCUAACGGACGCGGGAGCGGCGGUGCACCGGAACAGGCAAGCCAGCGGUUCGCUUAGGAUGCUGACGUAAUGGCUUU
rnacentral:rRNA from 1 species